rnacentral:rRNA from 1 species
AUUGAACGCUGGCGGCAUGCCUUACACAUGCCAGUCGAACGGUAACAGGUCUUCGGAUGCUGACGAGUGGCGAACGGGUGAGUAAUACAUCGGAACGUGCCCAGACGUGGGGGAUAACGAGGCGAAAGCUUUGCUAAUACCGCAUACGAUCUAAGGAUGAAAGCAGGGGACCGCAAGGCCUUGUGCGUUUGGAGCGGCCGAUGGCAGAUUAGGUAGUUGGUGGGAUAAAAGCUUACCAAGCCGACGAUCUGUAGCUGGUCUGAGAGGACGACCAGCCACACUGGGACUGAGACACGGCCCAGACUCCUACGGGAGGCAGCAGUGGGGAAUUUUGGACAAUGGGCGAAAGCCUGAUCCAGCAAUGCCGCGUGCAGGAUGAAGGCCUUCGGGUUGUAAACUGCUUUUGUACGGAACGAAAAGGCUCUGGCUAAUACCUGGGGCACAUGACGGUACCGUAAGAAUAAGCACCGGCUAACUACGUG